rnacentral:lncRNA from 1 species
CUACAGCAAUUAUCAACAUACAUGUUAACUUAAGUACUGUUAAAUACUUUAAAUAGAACUUUAUCUAUAUAAUUACAUUCAUUUUUUUAAUUUUUAGACGUAAACGAAAAGUAUAACAGCAAUAUAAUGUAAGACAAAGUCAAACGAUAACCAACUGAAUGAUUGGACAUAACUGUUAUAUUUAAUCUACAAUUAAAAGUAACAUUUACUGAAAGAUAAGUUUGUUGUCCUUGAAAUUAUCAUUUCCUCAUCAGUUUCAACACUAUUUCUUACAACAUAAACACAAAUACUGAUUAUAUUUUGCAGAAAAAAAACAUUGUUGCCGUGGCUUCUUUAAACAUCUUUGGAAUAGAGCAUCACUCUGUAAUACAUAAAUAUCCACGUUUUAUGAAAUGAAUUUAUGUAGGAAGUAUUUAAAUGUUUCAUUCUUUAUUUAAAAUUUAAAAUACAAAACUCUACAAUAUUCGGUUUUUGUUUGUUUUAGCAUGUUAAUUGCAGCACUCUCUGUUUACAAACGUUUAGCAAAUACCUUUGCAAUAAUG